GGAGGCAUUUCAUCAAACAGCUAUUGGGUGAUGUCAAUAUUUUCCCUCCCCCAAUGAACUCGUAGCUUAGUUGUAGAAUGAAAUUUGGCUAAUUAUUCAGAAGGGAGGAGUGGAAGGCCACGCAGAUCUAGUAACAGUACCUUUUUUUAGAUAAUGGAUAUAAAAUAUCCGGCCUAUACAUUCGAGGAUGUACACAGCCAAUUAUUACAAAGUUUUGAAAAAAGGAAAGGGCAAACACUAAAACAAAAAACCAUGGUACUAAAGCAAACAAAAAAAUGUUUCCAUCCUCUAUUAGAAAACUCUAAAGCAAUCGUCUCUAAAUUCUUGCUUAGCAUCGAGAGGAUGUCUUUAGUUUGCUCAUCAUGCUGCAGCGGGGCCCAGAAGCGAAGCCAGUAUGCUCCCCUGAAAAUAACCUGCAUAACAAAGUUAUUUUUGAGUUUGUUAAAAAUAACAUCAUUUCGACAUCUCCAAAUUGCCUAGCAUAUAGCAGCCACUCCGACCC
rnacentral:lncRNA from 1 species